rnacentral:rRNA from 1 species
UACGAAGGGGGCUAGCGUUGCUCGGAAUCACUGGGCGUAAAGGGUGCGUAGGCGGGUCUUUAAGUCAGGGGUGAAAUCCUGGAGCUCAACUCCAGAACUGCCUUUGAUACUGAGGAUCUUGAGUUCGGGAGAGGUGAGUGGAAUUCCCAGUGUAGCGGUGAAAUGCGUAGAUAUUGGGAGGAACACCAGUGGCGAAGGCGGCUCACUGGACCGGAACUGACGCUGAGGAGCGAAAGCGUGGGGAGCGAACAGGA